rnacentral:lncRNA from 1 species
GUGGUCCUGGGGAACGGGAGUAUGUUGCCCCCUUUUCACAGCCUUGCAGAGGUGGAACUUGGACUCUGGAUAAGGACAGUGCCAGGCCUGAUGGGAAAAUAAAAUCUUCAGUGCUUUCAUCUUUGAGAUUUUGCUGUAAACUGGCAUGUGGACAAACACAGUAAAUGAUAAAUUCAGCUUCCAUGCAGCACUGUCCCAGGGCCAUGUGAGAUAAGCUAGGGCUGACGGCGUGGAGCCAGAGCAGACCCAGGUAUAUAGUUCUGUGGCAGAAUACUGGCUGAGAAUGUCUCUGGGAUUCCCUGUAGAUUUCCAUCCACUUCAUUUGUCUUUGAUACCUCUGCUCUGA